GAUGAACGCUGGCGGCGUGCCUAAUACAUGCAAGUCGAGCGAACAGAUGAGGAGCUUGCUCCUCUGACGUUAGCGGCGGACGGGCGAGUAACACGUGGAUAACCUACUUAUAAGACUGGGAUAACUUCGGGAAACCGGUGCUAAUACUGGAUCAUAUAUUGUACCGCAUGGUUCAAUAGUGAAUGACGGUUUUGCCGUCACUUAUAGAUGGAUCCGCGCCGCAUUAGCUAGUUGGUAAGGUAACGGCUUACCAAGGCAACGAUGCGUAGCCGACCUGAGAGGGUGAUCGGCCACACUGGAACUGAGACACGGUCCAGACUCCUACGGGAGGCAGCAGUAGGGAAUCUUCCGCAAUGGGCGAAAGCCUGACGGAGCAACGCCGCGUGAGUGAUGAAGGUCUUCGGAUCGUAAAGCUCUGUUAUUAGGGAAGAACAAAUGUGUAUGUAACUAUGCACGUCUUGACGGUACCUAAUCAGAAAGCCACGGCUAACUACGUG
rnacentral:rRNA from 1 species